rnacentral:ribozyme from 1 species
AAAGAAAGAAAGAAUGCAAUACGAUGCAUGUCAAAGUGGACACUGCCAGAGUCAGCACGUUGCGUGCUUUGUCAUUUGUUUUGUUCUUCUUCCCUUCUUCUUUUUCAU